CAACCUCAACUCAUAUGGGACUACCCCCUGAAUUUAAGCAUAUUAAUUAGGGGAGGAAAAGAAACUAACAAGGAUUUUCUUAGUAGCGGCGAGCGAAAAGAAAACAGUUCAGCACUAAGUCACUUUGUCUAUAUGGCAAAUGUGAGAUGCAGUGUAUGGAGCGUCAAUAUUCUAGUAUGAGAAAUUAAUGAUUUAAGUCCUUCUUAAAUGAGGCCAUUUACCCAUAGAGGGUGCCAGGCCCGUAUAACGUUAAUGAUUGCUAGAUGAUGUUUCCAAAGAGUCGUGUUGCUUGAUAGUGCAGCACUAAGUGGGUGGUAAACUCCAUCUAAAACUAAAUAUAACCAUGAGACCGAUAGUAAACAAGUACCGUGAGGGAAAGUUGAAAAGAACUCUGAAUAGAGAGUUAAACAGUACGUGAAACUGCUUAGAGGUUAAGCCCGAUGAACCUGAAUAUCCGUUAUGGAAAAUUCAUCAUUAAAAUUGUAAUAUUUAAAUAAUAUUAUUAAGAAUAAUGUGCAUUUUUUCCAUAUAAGGACAUUGUAAUCUAUUAGCAUAUCCCAAAUUUAUCAUAAAAUAUAACUUAUAGUUUAUUCCAAUUAAAUUUGCUUGCAUUUUAACACAGAAUAAAUGUUAUUAAUUUGAUAAAGUGCUGAUAGAUUUAUAUUAUUACAGAGCGUUAAUUUUUCGGAAUUAUAUAAUGGGCAUAAUUAUCAUUGA
rnacentral:ncRNA from 1 species